rnacentral:rRNA from 1 species
GACAGAGGUCCCGAGCGUUAGGCGGAAUCACUGGGCUUAAAGCGUGUGUAGGCGGAUUUGUAAGUACCUUGUGAAAUCCCACGGCUUAACCGUGGAACUGCUUGGUAUACUGCUUAUCUUGGGCCACUUAGGGGUUACCGGAACAAACGGUGGAGCGGUGAAAUGCGUAGAUAUCGUUUGGAACGCCAAUGGUGAAAACAGCUCGCUGGGGAUGUGCCGACGCUGAGAUACGAAAGCCAGGGGAGCGAACGGG